rnacentral:rRNA from 1 species
UACGGAGGAUGCAAGCGUUAUCCGGAAUAAUUGGGCGUAAAGCGUCCGUAGGUGGCUGUUCAAGUCUGCCGUUAAAGACCGGGGCUUAACCCUGGAAAGGCGGUGGAAACUGAACGGCUAGAGUGCAGUAGGGGUAGAGGGAAUUCCCAGUGUAGCGGUGAAAUGCGUAGAGAUUGGGAAGAACACCGGUGGCGGAAGCGCUCUGCUGGACUGCAACUGACACUGAGGGACGAAAGCUAGGGGAGCGAAUGGG